AGGACGAACGCUGGCGGCGUGCCUAACACAUGCAAGUCGAGCGAGGAGAUCCUUCGGGAUGAUCCUAGCGGCGGACGGGUGAGUAACACGUGGGCAACCUGCCUCAUAGAGAGGAAUAGCCUUCCGAAAGGGAGAUUAAUACCUCAUAACAUUGCAGUUUCGCAUGGAACAGCAAUUAAAGGAGUAAUCCGCUAUGAGAUGGGCCCGCGGCGCAUUAGCUAGUUGGUGAGGUAAUGGCUCACCAAGGCGACGAUGCGUAGCCGACCUGAGAGGGUGAUCGGCCACAUUGGGACUGAGACACGGCCCAGACUCCUACGGGAGGCAGCAGUGGGGAAUAUUGCACAAUGGGGGAAACCCUGAUGCAAGCAACGCCGCGUGAGUGAUGACGGCCUUCGGGUUGUAAAGCUCUGUCUUCAGGGACGAUAAUGACGGUACCUGAGGAGGAAGCCACGGCUAACUACGUGCCAGCCGCAGC
rnacentral:rRNA from 1 species